AUCUUCAGGGCAGGGUGAAAUUCCCGACCGGCGGUGAGCCUUUGGCAAGUCCGCGAACGCUGCACGCAGCGCCGAGCUGGUGAGAUUCCAGCACCGACAGUACAGUCUGGAUGGAAGAAGAU
rnacentral:ncRNA from 1 species